rnacentral:rRNA from 1 species
UACAGAGGUCUCAAGCGUUGUUCGGAUUCAUUGGGCGUAAAGGGUGCGUAGGCGGCGCGGUAAGUCGGAUGUGAAAUCUCGGAGCUUAACUUCGAAACUGCAUUCGAUACUGCCGUGCUUGAGGACUGGAGAGGAGACUGGAAUUUACGGUGUAGCGGUGAAAUGCGUAGAUAUCGUAAGGAAGACCAGUGGCGAAGGCGGGUCUCUGGACAGUUCCUGACGCUGAGGCACGGAAGGUCAGGGGGAGCAAAACGGG